rnacentral:rRNA from 1 species
CAGUAGCCGCGGGAAUACGAAGGGGGCUAGCGUUGUUCGGAAUUACUGGGCGUAAAGCGCACGUAGGCGGAUAUUUAAGUCAGGGGUGAAAUCCCGCGGCUCAACUGCGGAACUGCCUUUGAUACUGGGUAUCUUGAGUAUGGAAGAGGUUAGUGGAAUUGCGAGUGUAGAGGUGAAAUUCGUAGAUAUUCGCAGGAACACCAGUGGCGUAGGCGGCUAACUGGUCCAUAACUGACGCUGAGGUGCGAAAGCGUGGGGAGCAAACAGGAUUAGAUACCCCGGUAGUCCCUGUCUCUUAUAC